rnacentral:rRNA from 1 species
AUUGAACGCUGGCGGCAGGCCUAACACAUGCAAGUCGAGCGGAAGAACGGGGCUUGCCUCUUGGUUCAGCGGCGCACGGGUGAGUAAUGGCUAGGAAACUGCCUGGUAGUGGGGGAUAAAGUCCGGAAACGGGCGGUAAUACCGCGUAUGACCUGCGGGAGAAAGUGGGGGAGCUUCGGACGUCACGCUAUCAGUUGAUCGUAGGUCGGAUUAGCUAGUUGGUGGGGUAAAGGCCUACCAAGGUGACGAUCCGUAACUGGUCUGAGAGGAUGACCAGCCACACUGGAACUGAGACACGGCCCAGACUCCUACGGGAGGCGGCAGUGGGGAAUAUUGGACAAUGGGCGAAAGCCUGAUCCAGCCAUGCCGCGUGUGUGAAGAAGGUCUUCGGAUUGUAAAGCACUUUUAGUUGGGAGGAAGGGCAGGAAGUUAAUACCGUGCUGUGUUGACGGUACCGACAGAAUAAGCACCGGCUAACUACGUG